AAGGAUGAGCAGGCUCUCUGCCAUCUGCCCACCAACUUUUCAAGUUACUUUUACCCACCUUCAAAAUUACAUCUGCUUUUAGCAAGAAUUACUGAUGUGAUAAAGAUGGGAGUGUUCACCAUGCAAGGGCAGGGGAUCCCCUGCUGCUCCACCAUCAGAUUUGGGACACCACCCCCCCCCCGGCCCCACCAGAGGGCAUCAGCUAUGCCUAGAAGGGGACCACAACAGACUCGACAGGAUCCACCGGUUGGGCCCAAGGCAGGAGGAAGGGCGGCGCCCCCAAACUCCCAGGACGCCUGCAGCACCCCCCACGCGCCGCUCUCCGCCUCUGGGGAGCAUCCUGCCACCCCCCGACACACACACCCCGGCUACAUCCCGCCUUCUCACGCUUGGUCAGGCGCUCUGGAGAUGUCGGAGAUCCAGGCUUUUCCUAAAGAGUCAGGAUUGGAAGGCGGACUCCCACCGUUUGCUGAGCUCCACAUGACAACAGCAGACGACAGGCCGCACUGAUCCCACCUGGCUUACAGGUGCUGUCACACAGGCUCCCUUGCUCCUUCAUUCAACCAUUGUUUACAUGUCGUUCAGGACUGCUGACUAAACACUUUCAAGCACAGUGGACCCUUGAACAACGCAGGUUCAAACUGUGCAGGUCCACCCACAGGGAUGUUUUUCAAUCAGAGUUAUACCAAGUGUCCCUGCCUCUCCUGCCUCCCUUCCCACUUCCUCCAUGUCUUCCUCUCUGCCACCCUGAGGCAGCAAGACCAGCCCCUCCUCCUCAGCCACUCAACAUGAAGACAACGAGGAUGAAGACUUCUAUGAUAAUCCACUUCCACUUAGUAAAUGCUUUCUCUUAUGAUAUUCUUAAUGACAUUUUAUUUUCCCAAGCUUAGUUUAUUGUAAGAAUACAGUAUAAAUACACAUACAAA
rnacentral:lncRNA from 1 species